UACGUAGGGUGCGAGCGUUGUCCGGAAUUAUUGGGCGUAAAGAGCUUGUAGGCGGUUUGUCGCGUCUGCUGUGAAAAUCCGGGGCUCAACUCCGGACUUGCAGUGGGUACGGGCAGGCUAGAGUGUGGUAGGGGAGACUGGAAUUCCUGGUGUAGCGGUGGAAUGCGCAGAUAUCAGGAGGAACACCGAUGGCGAAGGCAGGUCUCUGGGCCACUACUGACGCUGAGAAGCGAACGCAUGGGGAGCGAACAGG
rnacentral:rRNA from 1 species